UCGCUCUCACCUCAAGCCGCAAAGUAAGUUUUAUGGACCACUUCGGGUACUGUCUCACGUGGGCAAUGUGGCAUAUCACCUGCAGCUGCCAACGUGGGCAAUGUGGCAUAUCACCUGCAGCUGGAAACAUGGGCAUCCACCCAGUGUUCGAUAUCAGCCAGCUGAAGAAGCACAUAGGACCCAAUGCAGUUCCCUGUGCUGAUUUACCCUAGGUGAUCCUGAAGGGCGUAACAUGGAGAAUUUUGCACUGGAUGUUGCAACUUGGGAAGACGCAGAUUUCAUGAAGCGUACAUUCCCAGCCUUUUCCAAGAGAGUCAAAGCAUGGCGGCGUCAACCUUCAACUUCCUAAGGACAAGUCAUGCUCGCAAGGGGGCAUUCUCCGGCUGAACUUUCAAGGUAUUCCAGUCUAAAGUUAACUGUAUGGGUUCAGAUAAUGAACGACUGGCGAUCAAUGAUGGAGAAGAAGAUCGGACGGCUUGCAUUCGCUCACCGUCAACUCUAGCUUAUUUACUUUUCGCUGUUGCUUUUCUUACCUCUUUAUUCUCUCCUGUCAACCACGGCUGUAACAAAACAAUGUAUGCACUGCACGGGACAAGCCCCGAUCAAUCAAUAAAGCAC
rnacentral:lncRNA from 1 species